rnacentral:rRNA from 1 species
AUGGAGUGUAACAUAAGGAUUCUAUUUUGGAAUGUGCGUCGGUUAAACAAUGGCGCCAAAUGCACUGAUGUUUGUAGCGUGAUCACCGCUGCUUUGCCCUCUAUCGUGUACCUGCAGGAGACAAAACUCGCGGACGUCACCGAUUCACUUGUUCUGGACACCCUCGGCCCUCUCUACAAGGAUUUCUACUCCCUCCUCGCGAUCGGCACCCGCGGCGGCAUGAUC